GUGGAGUCCAACUGUCAACCCCACACCACCAGGGCCAGAACGAGUGGUGUUUAAGUGGUACCAGCUGUCAACAUUAUCCCAUCACAAGAAGGGCUGUUGUCUCUGGAGAACCACAGAGGUACAGGCAGCAACUCAAAGCACCGCAAAGGCUGAUUUAGCAUCACGAGUGCCCUCAGCACGGUACAUAAGGAAAAGUCCUGUCAAGAUUCUCUCAAAAAGCAAGCUCUGCAGUUCCUUUUAAAACCCAGG